GCCGGCUUAGCUCAGUUGGUAGAGCAUCUGAUUUGUAAUCAGAGGGUCGCGGGUUCGAACCCCGUCGUUCGCU
rnacentral:tRNA from 1 species